rnacentral:rRNA from 1 species
AGGGCGGGACACGUGAUAUCCUGUCUGAAUAUGGGGGGACCAUCCUCCAAGGCUAAAUACUACUGACUGACCGAUAGUGAACCAGUACCGUGAGGGAAAGGCGAAAAGAACCCCUGUGAGGGGAGUGAAAUAGAACCUGAAACCGUGUACGUACAAGCAGUAGGAGCAGGCUUUGUCCUGUGACUGCGUACCUUUUGUAUAAUGGGUCAGCGACUUAUAUUCAGUGGCAAGGUUAACCAUCUAGGGGAGCCGUAGGGAAACCGAGUCUUAACUGGGCGUUCAGUCUCUGGAUAUAGACCCGAAACCAGGUGAUCUAGCCAUGGGCAGGUUGAAGGUUGAGUAACAUCAACUGGAGGACCGAACCGACUAAUGUUGAAAAAUUAGCGGAUGACUUGUGGCUAGGGGUGAAAGGCCAAUCAAACCUGGAGAUAGCUGGUUCUCCCCGAAAGCUAUUUAGGUAGCGCCUCGGACGAAUACUACUGGGGGUAGAGCACUGUUAAGGCUAGGGGGUCAUCCCGACUUACCAACCCUUUGCAAACUCCGAAUACCAGUAAGUACUAUCCGGGAGACACACGGCGGGUGCUAACGUCCGUCGUGGAGAGGGAAACAACCCAGACCGCCAGCUAAGGUCCCAAAUUACUACUAAGUGGGAAACGAUGUGGGAAGGCUCAGACAGCCAGGAUGUUGGCUUAGAAGCAGCCAUCAUUUAAAGAAAGCGUAAUAGCUCACUGGUCGAGUCGGCCUGCGCGGAAGAUGUAACGGGGCUAAGUAGUAAACCGAAGCUGCGGCAAUGUGCUUUUGCACAUUGGGUAGGGGAGCGUUCUGUAAGCGGUUGAAGGUGUGUGGUAACGCAUGCUGGACGUAUCAGAAGUGCGAAUGCUGACAUGAGUAACGAUAAAGGGGGUGAAAAACCUCCUCGCCGGAAGACCAAGGGUUCCUGUCCAACGUUAAUCGGGGCAGGGUAAGUCGACCCCUAAGGCGAGGCCGAAAGGCGUAGUCGAUGGGAAACGGGUUAAUAUUCCCGUACUUCUUACAAUUGCGAUGGGGGGACGGAGAAGGCUAGGUGGGCCUGGCGACGGUUGUCCAGGUUCAAGUGCGUAGGCUUAAGAGUUAGGUAAAUCCGGCUCUUUCUAAGGCUGAGACACGACGUCGAGCACCUACGGGUGUGAAGUCAUUGAUGCCAUGCUUCCAGGAAAAGCCUCUAAGCUUCAGAUUGUAAGGAAUCGUACCCCAAACCGACACAGGUGGUCGGGUAGAGAAUACCAAGGCGCUUGAGAGAACUCGGGUGAAGGAACUAGGCAAAAUGGUACCGUAACUUCGGGAGAAGGU